rnacentral:lncRNA from 1 species
GUGGGGUGCAUGCAGAAAUUAUGGAAAUUAAAUUAUUGUCAUGUAGAUGUAAUAAAAGCACAUAUAAAGAGACAAAUAUGUAAUAGUAGUAGCUAUGGAGUAAUAGUAUUAGUUCUUUAAAGAAUUUUAAAUAUGUUGAACAAAAAAGGAUCUUUGAAUAUUAAAUGGCGAAAAAGAUAACGAUUGGCUCCAAAAUCCUUUUUUGAUUUUUUUAAGUAUGAAUUUUAAUCCUCUUUUCUUGAAAAUUUGACAUUGAUUUUUUUGUGUACAUGUAUUUUUUUGGCCUUCCUUUUUCAAAGGAGAGGUCAUUUGUGAUAAUAAAUGAGAACUUCAGGAAGAUGAAGAUAAACUAAGAAAGAAAAGAGCAGAUACAAAUAACUAAAAACGUUUUUGAAGCAAUAAUUAAGAGAUAUAAUCAGGAGGCGUGAUAAAGAUAGCAGUAGUUAGUGUUACAUGUAUUAUUAUUAUUAUUAUUAUUAUUAUUAUUAUGAUGCUUAUCUUUAUGAUUCUUCAUUAUAUGUAUUGAUUUCUCUCUUAAGAAUGCUAUCAGCCUAUCAACGCAAGCCCUUGACGUAUCUCAAAGAAACAUUUAAUGCUGGGUUUCAAACUGAUUUUAGCUCGAAGUUGCAAACUUAGGGUUUUGCUUGUUUCGUUCUCUGAACUCAUCGUAGGACGUAGACGUAGCAUUUAGCAAUUUAAGGCAUACUGUGUUUUGUUCCCCAUUGCGACUCUGAAUUAGUGACAAAAUUUGCAACUACGUGAG